UACAGAGGAGCCAAGCGUCGUCCGGAAUCAUUGGGUUUAAAGGGUCCGUAGGCGGCCCCGUAAGUCAGUGGUGAAAUCUCCCGGCUCAACCGGGAAAUUGCCAUUGAUACUGCAGGACUUGAAUUAUUGGGAAGUAACUAGAAUAUGUAGUGUAGCGGUGAAAUGCUUAGAUAUUACAUGGAAUACCGAUUGCGAAGGCAGGUUACUAUCAAUACAUUGACGCUGAUGGACGAAAGCGUGGGGAGCAAACAGG
rnacentral:rRNA from 1 species